rnacentral:rRNA from 1 species
CAGUAGCCGCGGGAAUACGUAGGUCCCGAGCGUUGUCCGGAUUUAUUGGGCGUAAAGCGAGCGCAGGCGGUCAGAUAAGUCUGAAGUUAAAGGCUGUGGCUUAACCAUAGUACGCUUUGGAAACUGUUUAACUUGAGUGCAAGAGGGGAGAGUGGAAUUCCAUGUGUAGCGGUGAAAUGCGUAGAUAUAUGGAAGAACACCGGUGGCGAAAGCGGCUCUCUGGUCUGUCACUGACGCUGAGGCUCGAAAGCGUGGGCAGCGAACAGGAUUAGAUACCCCGGUAGUCCCUGUCUCUUAUACA